AUACGUAGGUGGCAAGCGUUGUCCGGAAUUAUUGGGCGUAAAGCGCGCGCAGGCGGCUUCUUAAGUCUGAUGUGAAAGCCCACGGCUCAACCGUGGAGGGUCAUUGGAAACUGGGAGGCUUGAGUGCAGAAGAGAAGAGCGGAAUUCCACGUGUAGCGGUGAAAUGCGUAGAGAUGUGGAGGAACACCAGUGGCGAAGGCGGCUCUUUGGUCUGUAACUGACGCUGAGGCGCGAAAGCGUGGGGAGAGAACAGGAUUAGAUACCCUGGUAUUCCACGCCGUAAACGAUGAGUGCUAAGUGUUAGGGGGUUUCCGCCCCUUAGUGCUGCAGCAAACGCAUUAAGCGCUCCGCCUGGGGAGUACGGCCGCAAGGCUGAA
rnacentral:rRNA from 1 species